rnacentral:rRNA from 1 species
UCCUGCCCAGUGACAUAGUUCAACGGCCGCGGUAUCCUAACCGUGCAAAGGUAGCAUAAUCACUUGCCCAUUAAUUGUGGGCUAGAAUGAACGGAUCAACGAAAUAGAGCCUGUCUCCAUAAAUCCCAUAAAAAUUAAUCUCUAACUGAAGAGUGUUAGAUUACAUCGAAGGACAAGAAGACCCUAUAGAGCUUUAUCCCUAAUAAGAUUAACUCUUAAUAAAAGAUUCGGUUGGGGCGACCAAGGAUAUAAAGAUCAUCCUCCAUUAAAAGAUAUAUUUAUCUAAAAUAGACCCUUAAUAAAGAUCAAAAAAACAAGCUACCUUAGGGAUAACAGGCUAAUCCUGCUAAAGAGUCCUUAUCAACAGCAGGGGUUGGCACCUCGAUGUUGGCUUAGGGAAACUAUGUGGCGCAAAAGUCACAUAAAGAUGGUUUGUUCAACCAAUAAAUCCCUACAUGAGCUGAGUUCAGACCGGCGCAAGCCAGGUUAGUUUCUAUCCUCGACAAUAUAUCUAUCUAUAGUACGAAAGGACCUAGAUAAGAAUAAAUAUUAUAUACAAAGAAAAAAUAUAACAAUUCGUGAUAACUAAUAAACAUAUAUUAUGUAGUGCGUUGGCAGAAUAGUGCAAUCGACUUAGGAUCGAUAUAUGGGAUUUUUUUUCCCACUCACUAAUGCAACUUAGUUUAUUUAGAAUAAUCAACUUGCACUUGAUAGGAGAGGUUUCUCAGUAGCGGCUUGAUGUUUUGGAAACACUAGACCUUGAACGUCUACUAAAGAUGUUCAACUCAUC